CCUUCUCGUCUUUACGAUGUUUUUUAGAUCUCAGAAAUUUUUUUGGAAAGAGAGAGAUAAACACAUAGGCGAUUUAUAGUUGUUGUUCUUCCACAGAGAUUCGUUCUUCGGGGCGAUAUGGAUGUGGAUGAUGAUGAUGAUGAUGACAAUUAUUAUCAAACAACAACACCAAUUUUAUCUUCUUGGGGUCCUGAUGAUACUCGGGAUAAAAAAGAAAUACAUACCCCUGUUGUCGAAGAUCAUGAGGAUCGAUCAUAUCUAAGAGACGCAUUGAAGCUGGAGAAUCUUUUUUUUUGUGUGGAUUUCUGUUUAGGUAACAAUAUUGGCCGUAACAAAACGAGUUGCAUCUCACGAUAACAAAGUUGACGAGGAAUUGGAUAAGCUCAGAGGAUGGGUUGAAAAGGAUAAAGGAGAUUGUGAGCACAUUUGCCUUAGGAAAUGACCUCACCUUAUGUUGCUAUGCUUGUAGCUCAAGAUGUUGUAACACAAUUGCAGGGGGAAUGAAGGUCAAAGCUGAUAAAGAUGGGUCCUCGCCUCAUGUUUCUAUGCUUGCAACCCAAAAUGUUGCAACAGGGUAAUAGGUUAACUGCUAAACCAUCCUAUGCAAAUCCUGCCAUUAUUCAACAAGAUUUUGGCGUGGUUGAUAUUUUUGUCAGUCUGUGCAGACUAGAAUGGCAGUCUGGCUAUCAUGAAUGUUGGAUUUUUUCUGUAUUUUUGUCGAUGUGUCCAUGGUUGUACACUAGUGUGAAUUAAAAAAAAAUUUAAAAGUGAAAAUUAUAUAGUCAUAUGGGUACUCUUUUUGUAUAUCUCGAAAAGAGUUUUUCGAAUAUAUAAAGUUUGUAAAUUUUGGAUGAACGGUUCGAAAGUUAAAUUGUUUUUUAAAUAUUUAUAUA